CAUAAAUGAUUAACAGUGGAUCAACAGACUAAAAACAAAGCAUGUUUACAGCACUUCAUUUAUACUGCCUUGUUGCUUGACAAAAUUCCGUUAUGCUUCCUGUCGGUAGUGCCUGAGAACAUGAAAAGGUAUCAUUUUGAGUCUUGGAAAUGAUGAUGACUGUGUCCCCAGCCCAGGGCUGUGGCCUGAUUCAACGAAGUCAACCAUCACAUCUCAAGUCCCUCCAAUCAGAGCCAUGGGUCAGGCCUCCCCAAGAGCAAGUCUCAGCAAAUACCAAGGAAAGAAGGGGAUGAUCCAGAUACCUAGACCUGCAC